rnacentral:rRNA from 1 species
GACGAACGCUGGCGGCGUGCUUAACACAUGCAAGUCGAACGGAAAGGCCCUGCUUUUGUGGGGUGCUCGAGUGGCGAACGGGUGAGUAACACGUGAGUAACCUGCCCUUGACUUUGGGAUAACUUCAGGAAACUGGGGCUAAUACCGGAUAGGAGCUCCUGCUGCAUGGUGGGGGUUGGAAAGUUUCGGCGGUUGGGGAUGGACUCGCGGCUUAUCAGCUUGUUGGUGGGGUAGUGGCUUACCAAGGCUUUGACGGGUAGCCGGCCUGAGAGGGUGACCGGCCACAUUGGGAAUGAGAUACGGCCCAGACUCCUAAGGGAGGCAGCAGGGGGGAAUAUUGGAAAAUGGGCGGAAGCCUGAAGCAGCAACGCCGCGUGCGGGAUGAAGGCCUUCGGGGUGUAAACCGCUUUCGCCUGUGACGAAGCGUGAGUGACGGUAAUGGGUAAAGAAGCACCGGCUAACUACGUG